rnacentral:tRNA from 1 species
CUCCCAGUCGUCUAAUGGAUAAGACAGCCCCCUCCUAAGGGGCAAAUCUUGGUUCGAUUCCAGGCUGGGGGA